rnacentral:rRNA from 1 species
GAUGAACGCUGGCGGCGUGCCUAAUACAUGCCAGUCGAGCGAACAGAUGAGGAGCCUGCUCCUCUGACGUUAGCGGCGGACGGGUGAGUAACACGUGGAUAACCUACCUAUAAGACUGGGAUAACUUCGGGAAACCGGAGCUAAUACCGGAUAAUAUAUUGAACCGCAUGGUUCAAUAGUGAAAGACGGUUUUGCUGUCACUUAUAGAUGGAUCCGCGCCGCAUUAGCUAGUUGGUAAGGUAACGGCUUACCAAGGCAACGAUGCGUAGCCGACCUGAGAGGGUGAUCGGCCACACUGAAACUGAGACACGGUCCAGACUCCUACGGGAGGCAGCAGUAGGGAAUCUUCCGCAAUGGGCGAAAGCCUGACGGAGCAACGCCGCGUGAGUGAUGAAGGUCUUCGGAUCGUAAAACUCUGUUAUUAGGGAAGAACAAAUGUGUAAGUAACUAUGCACGUCUUGACGGUACCUAAUCAGAAAGCCACGGCUAACUACGUG